GUUGUUCUAGAAUGGCGUUCAUUCAGAAAAGAAACGCCGUGCACAAUCCAUUGAGAGCUACUGCUAACCGUUGAGUAGAAAAUAUGUCAAUAUUAUUGUUGAAGACUCAAUAAUGAUGAUUGCGGGCGGGAGAUUUAGAUGAAUGUUGGUACACCAAUUGCAGCUGAUGGCCUUAUUUAUGCGAUUGUGAUAAAUAAGGAUUAUUGUAAAUCGAACGGUAGACACCCUGUCAUUGUAUCGCAGCUUGAAAAUUCCAGUGGAACAAUCGUCCAAACCAUGGCUGAGUUCAUUCCACGAACUUUCUAAAAAAAUUCAAAUCUAGGAGCAAGAUAAUAUCAAGAUUUAUCAGAAUGAGGAAUUUGAGAAAUUAUGUUGUUUAAAAUAAUAUUAUAAUACAGUAUGAUUAUUAUUUCACAUUUAAA